GCAACGCCCCUUUGAAAAUGAACGACUUUACCAUCACUUUACCUCUUUUCAAUCACAACCUAAUAACGGUUAACAAAUUCAAAACAACAUAACCCCGGCACGGUGUUUUAUUUUCGUUAGCCUUUUUGUCCAUCGAGAAGCUUUGCGUUGGAGCGAAUCAAUUCUGGAACUAGGAUACAUAUCACCAUACCGCGCGCUCUGCUUCUCUCCCUUUCAAGUGUUAUCACGUGCGUGAGCUAAAUUCUACAAGCAGUGUAGGGUUGCACAAACAGUUUUAUGUUCCAAACUGAUUAAUUUCUCAGCGAGAAUGUUGUGAAAACUCGGUCUGAUAGAGGUCAAAUGUUUAGAUAAUUGGAACUGUGAUGAUGACAAGAGGCGGGAAGAAGAACUUUUGAGAAAUACCUUCAUCUAUGACCUUUAAUAACCGGUGGCUUUACUGCUCUUCAUCCAUAUGAGAAGUUUCCCCUGAGCUCGAGACAUCUGCCGCGCACUCUGCGCUGUCCAAACUCUCUGCCACCGGGAAUAUUACGCGCGUGUUUGUCAUAGGUUGGUGUAUUACCACAUUGGGAAAUAUAGGGCGAUUGUUUCAUGGUAGACUUGGGUUACAUGCAUCAAUGCCAAGAAAUUUCAUUAGGGGAACUUUGCCCAAGGAAAACGAGAGCCAUCUGUGUAGGAUGGAGCCGGUGGCCAAGGAGAGAGGGACAACAGAGAACGGAGGCAGCUCCUCUACGAGGGAGCAACGCUCCUCCUGCUCCAGCCUCAAGAUGUUCCUUGUGGCCCUAUCGUUUGCCUACUUUGCCAAGGCCUUGUCUGGUAGCUACAUGAAGAGCACAAUAACCCAGCUGGAGAGGCGCUUUGACAUCCCCAGUUACCUAACAGGCGUCAUCGACGGGAGCUUUGAGAUAGGUAACCUGUUGGUGAUAGCAUUCGUGAGCUACUUUGGUGCAAAGCUGCAUCGGCCCAAGAUCAUAGCAAUGGGCUGUGUACUGAUGGCAGUGGGAACAUUCAUCAUCGCUCUGCCACACUUCCUCAUCGGACGCUAUAAGUUCGAAACGUCAAUCCGAUCGUCAGUGAAUUCAACCAAUAACCUCUCUCCAUGUCCAGCGCGCCUGUUGUCACCCUCCGCGCAAGCUUCGGGUGACCCGCUUUCUGAGGCACCAAGCACAGGGACAGUAGGUUGUGAAGGAGAGUCCAACCUCUCCAUGUGGAUCUAUGUGUUCCUUGGGAACGUCUUACGAGGGAUCGGGGAGACGCCAGUGCAGCCCCUUGGGAUCUCGUACAUAGAUGAUUUCGCCAGGGAGGAAAAUGCUGCAUUUUACAUUGGCUGCGUUCAGACCAUAGCAGUCAUUGGUCCUGUGUUUGGCUAUUUACUGGGAUCCCUGUGUGCCAAAAUAUAUGUGGACAUUGGAUUUGUCAACAUGGAGAGUAUCACCAUAAGCCCUGGUGAUGCUCGCUGGGUGGGUGCCUGGUGGUUAGGUUACCUUAUAGCUGGGGUAAUCACCCUGCUUUCAGCCAUCCCCUUCUGGUUCCUGCCCCGUUCCCUGCCCAUCCCGUCAGACCGAGGCCCAGCCCAGUGCACCCCGGAGCGGACUAGCUUCAUCAAAGACUCCCCUCUCCUGGAGCAUAAGUACCAAGCCGACGAGCCAGCUGGCUUUCUGGAGAUGGCCAAAGAUUUCAUACCAACGUUGAAAACCCUCCUGGGGAACCCAGUGUACUUCAUCUACCUGUGUGUGACCAUCAUUCAGCUGAACUCUCUAAUCGGCAUGGUAACCUACAAGCCCAAGUACAUAGAGCAGCAUUACGGACAGUCAGCAUCAAAAGCCAAUUUCCUGAUGGGGACAAUCAACAUCCCUGCCGUGGCGUUGGGAAUUUUCACUGGUGGCCUGCUCAUGAAGAAGCUGAAGCUGAGCAUCAUGGGAGCAGCCAAGUUUGCGUUCGGCACCUCUCUGAUAGGCUACUUCCUAUCCCUCUUCUUCUUCGUCAUGAGCUGCGAGAACGUCAAAGUUGCUGGGAUCACGCUGCCCUACAACAGGGUGAAUGGUGUAUCGUAUGAGGAGCGCUCAGUAUUCUCAGCCUGUAACUCAGACUGUGUUUGUUCAGGCAGAGACUGGGACCCUGUCUGUGGAGAGAACGGCAUCACGUACGUCUCUCCCUGCCUGGCUGGCUGCCAAACCUCCACAGGAUCAGGGAAGAACACGGUGUUCUCUAACUGUAGCUGUGUGGUGGUAGCAGGGCUGAGCAGUGGUAACCUGACAGCCAGUGUAGGCCACUGUCCUCACAGAGACGGCUGUGACCGUGUCUUCCCUUACUUCCUGGCUCUUUCUGUCAUCACUUCCUUUAUCAUCUCACUGGGUGGUACGCCAGGCUACAUGGUCCUCAUCAGGUGUAUCAAGCCUCAACUGAAGUCCUUAGCUCUGGGGUUCCAUACUCUGUCCACACGUACACUUGCGGGCAUCCCAGCGCCCAUCUACUUUGGGGCGGUCAUCGACACCACGUGUCUGAAGUGGGGCCAGAAGAGAUGCGGAGGGAGAGGAGCCUGUCGGAUAUACAACACUACAGCAUACAGGUCAUACACACUACUGGGCCCUGUUUCAGAAAGCAGGUUUAACAAACUCUGAGUUUAAACCUGAACUCUGGGUUGACUAACUCUGAGCUGUCAAAGUUUUCGGUUUCAGAACAGGUGAUAACAAUUAGUUCAAUCAACUCUGAGUUAAGUUAACCCUGAGUAAAGCACGUGCAUGAGGAUAUAAAAAGCCCUCAAUGGAACGCAGAUAACAUGAUUCAUCAUGGCAACAGGAGAAAAAAGGGAAUGAACCUCCUACUUCUCCCCAGUGGAGUUAGAAAUAUUAAUGAAUGCGUAUGCAGAAUAUGAGUAUAUAUAUUUAAGAAAAAAAGCAAUGCAGCAGCAGCAAAAGAACGUGAGCUGGCGUGGCAGAAAAUUGCUGACCGAGUCUAUGCGUGAGUAUUAAUUAAAAACUUCAUUUUUUUAUCUUGAGUGUUCCACAUAUUCAACAUUUAUAUAUUGUGUGUGUUUAAUAUUUAUGCAGGUGCAAACCAACAGGCACAAAACGUACUUGGCAGCAACUGAAGAUGAAAUAUAAAAAUAUACUUCAAACAGCCAAUAGAAAAAAGGCUGAGGGCCGAAAAACAGGUGGGGGUCCACCACCACUCACUGAAGUUGAAGAGAUGGCCCUCAGUCAAAACAGUGGAUGACCUAUUCCUGAAGGCAUCUCUGGAGGUAGCUCAUCUGACCCAACCACCCCCCAGGGCACAAGGGCCUACAUAAGAGGUUAGUUAUUCAAAUUAUUGAUAUAUGUAUAUUCAUCCUUUUGCCAGUGUUACCUCAGUGACUCCCACCCAUCCAUCUUAGACACAACUAAGCACACUGCUUUUCUUGUAGUGGUACAAUUCUUUGUAAUUGACUGCUGUUGCUUUUUCAGAUUCUUAGUUGUCCUUCAGACAUCAUAUUCUAUUUUAAGGUGACUCACAGUUCUAUAUUUGAAAAGUUGUGAUGUGACCUGCACACUGUUGUAAAAACAAACUUCAUAUUAGGUGGGGCACUUUUCUGGGUAAAGUUGUAAUUUAACUGUCUAAUCUUCAUCUUCUACCAGUUACUGAAGGUGUAAUCUGUCUGGUGGAGCCUUCUGCCAUAACAGACAUCCAUGCAGUUGUAAGUACUCUUGAUACUCCACAGAUUUGUCAUAAUGGGUUAGAGAGAACACCACAAUUGUUAUUUUUUUCAUUACAUGAGGAUGAUGAAGACACCUUGACAGAUGCCACAGAGAGGGAAGAUACAGAGAGGCCUAUUGAGGUUUACACCUUAAAAAUAACAUCUAACAGUUGAUGAUAGUGUUGUACCAUAAUAAAACUUGCACCUUAUUUUUCUCUAACAGAGCAAUGCUGGAAAUUACAAUGAGGAAGAGGGUCCAUCCACCUCCACAGCACAACUUACCUCAGUAAGAUGUUGUUCAGCAUUGGCCCAUGACUUACAAUGAAACUAACUAGACCUGGCACUGUGAAAUUCAAUGUCAUUUUUGUGUGUGUGUUCCUAUAGCUCCCUGUGAAACAGCUGUACAAGGUGUACUUAGAGAAACAAAUUGAAAAAUGUAAUUUAGAAAUUGACCACAAGGCUGCAGAUACAAAAUAUAGAAAUACAACUGCUGGAACAUCAGUUCAAGGUGGGUCAGGUGCCCACAGGUGGAUGAUUUUACUUGUUUAAACAACAUAACAAAUAUUAACUACUGUACUGCAUUUGUACUUGCAGGAAAUAAAGAAGACUUCAUAAAAAGAAGGGCAUAUUGUCUUUAUUUGACACUGGGUAGGUGAUGGGUCAAUCAGAAAUGAUGGUAGCGUAUUGUGUCUCUGACUGCUCUUCCAUCUGGUGCGUCAGCGGGGUGGUCAGGAUCGUUAUCAGGAUCGUUCACUGGUUGAGUAGGACAUUGAUCUCCUCUAAUUGUGGCAAUGUUGUGGAGAAUCACACAUGCCACAAUAAUGUCACAUGCCCUUUCUGGGGUGACCCUGAGCCUACGAAGGAACUGUAACCGGGCCUUGAGCAUCCCAAUGGUCAUCUCUACCCUGGCUCGUGUCCUGCAUUGAGCCAAGUUAUAACGUUGCUGCGGGCCGGGCUCAGGAUCAGGGUAAGGGGUCAGAAAAUAGGGUUGGCAGGGGUAUCCUCUGUCACUGAGCAGGUAACCAUUGAAUUCUCCUAUGAUAAUACGAGGAUACAGUUUACAUGUUCAGUUGCAAUAGGAGGUAGCAAAAUAUUGAUUAUAAUAGGAUAUAGCUAUAUAUAACUCCACGGGCGCUCAAUGUACACUCACAAAAAAAUUGCGAGUCAUGCACAGACCCAGGCCACUUUGCUUCCACGUUGCUGAUGAUGUGGGCUUCAUCACAUAUGAUCUUCACAGUGCAGAAGAGUAAUUAGCUGCAGUAGCUGUAUUGUGGAGUAUCUUUCAUUUGGAAUGCUAAAGGCUAAUAUUUAGGCCUACCUGCCCAUUAAUGCUGUUGUAAGACUUCCUAUUCACAUAAUCUCCUUCAUUUACUGAAGGAGCUGUGAGAGGAAUGAGUGCCAUCUAUGCAGCCAAUCACACCUGGAAACCCUAAAAUAUAUAAAAUUAACUAAUUAGUGCUUCAAGUCUCAAAGCUUCAUAAUAAAUUAUUGCUUAGACUGAUACCGGCAAUUCUGUGGAAUUCUUCUUUGAUGAGUCUUGUGGGUCUGUGACUUGGGAACACCAAAAACGUGUACAGUAAACAUUUCACUGCAAGAGUCACAUUUCUGACUGACAGACGGUUGCCUGAAAUAUGCUCAGCGUCACCGAUGUUAUAUAGAAAACUCCCGUUGGCAAGAAAACAAAGUUCAACACAAAGAAUUUGUUCCGAACUGAGAGCAUGUCCACGAUGUGUCAUAUGAACGAUAUGAGGGCUGAGAAUAUUGUUCAGAUGAAUGAUCGAUUGUGCAGAAAAAUGGAAACGCCCACAGAUAAUCAUCAGGGAAUGAUAAAUCAUCCAAGCGGGGUCUGAUUACCCUCUCCUGACGGAGAUUUCUGCGGCGUAUUUGUGCUUCAAUAACAACUGGCUCUUCAAGAAAAGGACUCGCCAUGUCUGACACCUCCUUCAGUCUGCAGGCUUCAGCUAAAGAGGAGGAGAAACUCUGGGUUAGUUGAAGAAAACCUGCCAGUGAGCAGGUUAGCUUCAUGGAGUAUGUUGCCAUAGUAACUGACUCAGAGUUAAGCUGAACUGGCUUUGUGAAACCGAAAACCCAGAGUUUCCUUCAACUUUGAGUCAACUAACUGAGUUUUCACUAAACCUGCUUUCUGAAACAGGGCCCUGGUCAAGCCUAAUACACAACACAAACGCACACAGACAACACACUUACUUCAAAGUGAUAAUGUUGGAGAGGCAUACCCUCUAUAACAUCAGAUGCUGAACAUUGAUUUUCAAGCCAAUAUUGAAGGCAACCCCAGUAGACUUACCACUUGGAAGCACCAGUGUAAUGUCAAGUCUCUGAGUGUGUGUAUCCCUUGGUCUCUCUCUCCUCAGGAUAGCUUACCUGGGUCU